UACAGAGGGUGCAAGCGUUAAUCGGAAUUACUGGGCGUAAAGCGUGCGUAGACGGUUGCGUAAGUCAGAUGUGAAAGCCCCGGGCUCAACCUGGGAAUUGCAUUUGAGACUGCGUAGCUAGGGUGCGGAAGAGGGAAGCGGAAUUUCCGGUGUAGCGGUGAAAUGCGUAGGUAUCGGAAGGAACACCAGUGGCGAAAGCGGCUUCCUGGUCCAGCACCGACGUUCAGGCACGAAAGCGUGGGGAGCAAACAGG
rnacentral:rRNA from 1 species